rnacentral:rRNA from 1 species
GAUGAACGCUGGCGGCGUGUCUAAGGCAUGCAAGUCGAACGAUGAAACCUAGCUUGCUAGGUCGAUUAGUGGCGAACGGGUGAGUAACACGUGACUAACCUGCCCCUUUCUCUGGGAUAACGCUCCGAAAGGAGUGCUAAUACCGGAUACUCACACCGAGGCACAUGCCUUGGUGUGGAAAGUUUUUCGGAAAGGGAUGGAGUCGCGGCCUAUCAGCUUGUUGGUGAGGUAACGGCUCACCAAGGCGACGACGGGUAGCCGGCCUGAGAGGGCGACCGGCCACACUGGGACUGAGACACGGCCCAGACUCCUACGGGAGGCAGCAGUGGGGAAUAUUGCACAAUGGGCGCAAGCCUGAUGCAGCGACGCCGCGUGAGGGAUGAAGGUCUUCGGAUUGUAAACCUCUUUCAGUAGGGACGAAGCGAAAGUGACGGUACCUAAAGAAGAAGCACCGGCUAACUACGUGCCAGCAGCCGCAGUAA